UAUAGAUUUUCAAUCUUAAUUUACCAGCUGACCGAUUCUGUGUUCAUACGAAGCAUAAACGCCUACGUUUUAAUUUAUAUACCAACAUUAUUGUGUCAUGUGAUAUUGAUUGGCUAUUUUCUGUACAAGUCUGUUCGACAUACAUAUCUUUUUGUUAGAGGUCUUAAAAAGGAUACAGAUUAUGAGGAAUGCAAACCAUGUGCAAGCCCGCCACAAUAUAGCUACGUAAAAUGGUUAUUGAAAAGACCAGAACGGGACAUUAAAGAUACAUGUACGGGGUUGAAGAGG